GAUUAUCAUUAAGAAUAAUAAUUAUUAAUAAUUAUUAAUAAAUAAUAAUAAAUAUUAUUAAUUAUUAAUAAUUAAUUAUAAAUAAAUAAUUAAUAAUAAUAAUUAUCUAAUUAUUAACAAUUAAUUGCAAAUAAUAAAUAAUAAAUUAAUAAUAAUAAUUAUCUAAUUAUUAAUAUUUAAUUAUAAAUAAUAAAUUAUUUAAAUUAUUUAAUUAUUAAAGUAAUAAAUAAUGAUUUAAAUAUAUUAAUUAGAUUAAUUAAUAAUUUACUGCCAUUAAAAUUAAAUUUAGAUUUUAAUUAAUCUUGUUCUCAUCAAGGAACAAGCUUGUUCCAGAAAACGGGUGGAACAGCAGUUCCAGUCUUAUACCAACUAAUUCCAGAUUCUCGAAAACUACUGUUCCCGGGAACCAAACAUUGUGUUUGGGAACAAAGGGGGGAACAAGGGCUUAUUCCCCCCUUGUUCCCGAACCAAACACCACCUAAAAAUUAUUUUAUAUAUAUCUUUACCUUCUCCGUGCAGUGAACGACUCGCACCAGAGCAACGGUGCGGGAGGCCGCGUGAGGGGAUUUAUAGGAGUGUGGGAGGUGUUUGAAUCGGAUCGGAUCUGAAUCCAAUAAAGGGUAAUGGAAUAUCUCGCUAUUUUUUGGGGUUGUUAACUUAACCCUCAAAAUUUAAUUUAUUAUUUUAUAAUUUUUAACUGGAAAUUUUAGAAUUGUUAUAAUUAACUCCUACAAUCUAAUUUAAUUAACUAAAUAUUGACGCAUCGCUGAUAUAAAAGUGAUGUGGAAUCUUAAUUAUUGGCUUAUUAUCAAUUAUAACCCUGCUACAUUAUUUUUACGUUAGCGGAAUAUGAAUAAUUGCUCAACGAAAUCAGGUUAUAAAACUUGAUUGUAGCAAUUCGGAAAGUUCUAAUUUGAAAUUACAGCAAAUUAAAAUUGU
rnacentral:lncRNA from 1 species